GAUCAUGGCUCAGAGUGAACGCUGGCGGCAGGCCUAACACAUGCAAGUCGAGCGGCAGCGCGUCCGACCACCCUCGGGUGGUCGGAUGGCGGCGAGCGGCGGACGGGUGAGGAAUGCAUCGGAAUCUGCCUCGUUGUGGGGGGAUAACGUAGGGAAACUUACGCUAAUACCGCAUACGACCUACGGGUGAAAGUGGGGGGACCUUCGGGCCUCACGCGAUGAGAUGAGCCGAUGCCGGAUUAGCUAGUUGGCGGGGUAAAGGCCCACCAAGGCGACGAUCCGUAGCUGGUCUGAGAGGAUGAUCAGCCACACUGGAACUGAGACACGGUCCAGACUCCUACGGGAGGCAGCAGUGGGAAUAUUGGACAAUGGGGGCAACCCUGAUCCAGCCAUGCCGCGUGUGUGAAGAAGGCCUUCGGGUUGUAAAGCACUUUUGUUGGGGAAGAAACCGGCCGGGUUAAUACCCUGGUUGAAUGACGGUACCCAAAGAAUAAGCACCGGCUAACUUCGUG
rnacentral:rRNA from 1 species